CGUGUAGGCGGCCUCUUAAGUCUGGCGUGAAAGCCCGGGGCUUACCCCCGGAAGGGCACUGGAAACUGGGAGGCUGGAGUACCGGAGAGGAGGGUGGAAUUCCUGGUGUAGCGGUGAAAUGCGUAGAUAUCAGGAGGAACACCGGUGGCGAAGGCGGCCCUCUGGACGGAUACUGACGCUGAGACGCGAAAGCGUGGGGAGCAAACAGGAUUAGAUACCCUGGUAGUCCACGCUGUAAACGAUGGGCACUAGGUGUUCGGGGUAUUGACCCCCUGAGUGCCGCAGCUAACGCAUUAAGUGCCCCGCCUGGGGACUACGGCCGCAAGGUUAAA
rnacentral:rRNA from 1 species